GAGUUGGCCACUAUGAAAGAUAAAGAUGGAAAGAGAUCAGCAUUGCAUGCGUUUGCUGAAAAGCCUUGUAUUCCUUCAAUUCAAACUUCUACGGGGAUCUGGAGUUACUGCAUAAAUUUCUUGUCGAAAAAAGAAAAGCGCAAACAAGGGCUUGAGCUAGUCGAGAAACUUUGUCCUCAUCGUCUAAUAUUNNNNNNNNNNNNAGUUUAUGAUUGUACCUUCUGGGCGACUAAUAUUUAUUGCAGCUGAAAAUGGAAACGUAGAGUUCCUAACCAUACUUAUACGUAAAUAUCCACAUUUAGUAUUUAAGGUUGAUGACGACCAGUGUACCAUUUUUCAUAAAGCUAUUUUGAAUCGGCAUGAGAAAAUCUUCAUGCUAAUUUUUGAGUUGGGUAUGAUGAACUUAAUUAACAUAUAUGAGGAUAAGGAUGGCAAUAACAUGUUGCACUUGGCUGGAAAAAUGCCACAAGAAGAAAGUCGAGUAAAUGUUGUGCCAGGAGCAGCUCUACAACUACAGCGUGAGCUACAGUGGUUUGAGGUAGUGAAG
rnacentral:misc_RNA from 1 species